GAUGAAGAACGUAGCGAAAUGCGAUACGUAAUGUGAAUUGCAGAAUUCAGUGAAUCAUCGAAUCUUUGAACGCAUAUUGCGCUCUCUGGUAUUCCGGAGAGCAUGCUUGUUUGAGUAUCAGUAAACACCUCAACUUCCAUAUCUUUUUUGAAAUGGGAGUUGGACUUGAGUGAUCCCAACGCUUUUCCUCACCGAAAAGUGGCGGGUUACUUGAAAUGCAGGUGCAGCUGGACUUUUCUCUGAGAUAUAAGCAUAUCUAUUUAGUCUGCCUAAAAAACAGAUUAUUACCUUUGCUGCAGCUAACAUAAAGGAGAUUAGUUCUUGUGCUGACUGAUGCAGGAUUCACAAAUACAGGCUUCGGCCGACUUUGUAAACUCGAUCUCAAAUCAAGUAAGACUACCCGCUGAACUUAAGCAUAUCAAUAAGCGGAGGA
rnacentral:misc_RNA from 1 species